GCCGGGCGUGGUGGCGGGCGCCUGUAGUCCCAGCUACUCGGAGGCUGAGGCGGGAGAAUGGCGUGAACCCGGGAGGUGGAGCUUGCAGUGAGCCGAGAUCCCGCCACUGCACUCCAGCCUGGGUGACAGAGCGAGACUCCGUCUCAA
ensembl:misc_RNA Metazoa_SRP Metazoan signal recognition particle RNA